rnacentral:rRNA from 1 species
CACGUAGGGUGCAAGCGUUGUCCGGAAUUAUUGGGCGUAAAGAGCUCGUAGGCGGUCUGUCGCGUCGGAUGUGAAAAUCCAGGGCUCAACCCUGGACCUGCAUUCGAUACGGGCAGACUAGAGUUCGGUAGGGGAGACUGGAAUUCCUGGUGUAGCGGUGAAAUGCGCAGAUAUCAGGAGGAACACCGGUGGCGAAGGCGGGUCUCUGGGCCGAUAUUGACGCUGAGGAGCGAAAGCGUGGGGAGCGAACAGG